rnacentral:rRNA from 1 species
GAUCCUGGCUCAGAACGAACGCUGGCGGCGUGGAUAAGACAUGCAAGUCGAACGGGAUAUCAAGUUAGCAAUAAUGAGAUAUUUAGUGGCGAACGGGUGCGUAACACGUGGGAAUCUGCCGAGGAGUGGGGGAUAGCUCGCCGAAAGGCGAAUUAAUACCGCAUUAAAAGAGGGGGACCGCAAGGCCUCUCGCUUCUCGAUGAGCCCGCGGCCUAUCAGCUAGUUGGUAAGGUAAUGGCUUACCAAGGCUUUGACGGGUAGCUGGUCUGAGAGGACGACCAGCCACACUGGGACUGAGACACGGCCCAGACACCUACGGGUGGCAGCAGUCGAGAAUUUUUCACAAUGGGGGAAACCCUGAUGGAGCGACGCCGCGUGGAGGAUGAAGGCCUUCGGGUCGUAAACUCCUGUCAUCAUAGAACAAGAUUGCACGGUUAAUAACUGAUGUAAUUUGAUGGUAUAUGGAGAGGAAGGGACGGCUAACUCUGUGCCAGCAGCCGCGGUAAUACAGAGGUCCCAAGCGUUGUUCGGAUUCACUGGGCGUAAAGGGUGCGUAGGAGGCUGGGAAAGUCGGAUGUGAAAUCUCACCGCUUAACGGUGAAACUGCAUUCGAUACUACUCGGCUAGAGGAUCGGAGGGGAGAGCAGAAUUCUUGGUGUAGCGGUGAAAUGCGUAGAUAUCAAGAGGAAUACCAACAGCGUAGGCAGCUCUCUGGAAGAUUCCUGACUCUGAGGCACGAAGGCCAGGGGAGCAAACGGGAUUAGAUACCCCGGUAGUCCUGGCAGUAAACGGUGCUCAUUAGGUGUUGGUGGAUUCGACCCCAUCAGUGCCGGACCUAACGGAUUAAAUGAGCCGCCUGGGGAGUACGGUCGCAAGAUUAAAACUCAAAGGAAUGACG